CAGCAGCCACGGUAAUACGAAGGGGGCUAGCGUUGCUCGGAAUGACUGGGCGUAAAGGGCGCGUAGGCGGUUUGUACAGUUGGAUGUGAAAUUCCUGGGCUUAACCUGGGGGCUGCAUUCAAUACGUGCAGGCUUGAGUGGGGAAGAGGGUCGUGGAAUUCCCAGUGUAGAGGUGAAAUUCGUAGAUAUUGGGAAGAACACCGGUGGCGAAGGCGGCGACCUGGUCCUUGACUGACGCUGAGGCGCGAAAGCGUGGGGAGCAAACAGGAUUAGAUACCCCAGUAGUCCCUGUCUCUUAUAC
rnacentral:rRNA from 1 species